rnacentral:rRNA from 1 species
GAUGAACGCUAGCUACAGGCUUAACACAUGCAAGUCGAGGGGCAGCAUGACCUAGCAAUAGGUUGAUGGCGACCGGCGCACGGGUGAGUAACACGUAUCCAACCUGCCGAUUAUUCCGGGAUAGCCUUUCGAAAGAAAGAUUAAUACUGGAUAGCAUAACGAGAAGGCAUCUUCUUGUUAUUAAAGAAUUUCGAUAAUCGAUGGGGAUGCGUUCCAUUAGUUUGUUGGCGGGGUAACGGCCCACCAAGACAUCGAUGGAUAGGGGUUCUGAGAGGAAGGUCCCCCACAUUGGAACUGAGACACGGUCCAAACUCCUACGGGAGGCAGCAGUGAGGAAUAUUGGUCAAUGGACGAGAGUCUGAACCAGCCAAGUAGCGUGAAGGAGGACUGCCCUAUGGGUGGUAAACUUCUUUUAUAUGGGAAUAAAGUGGGCCACGUGUGGCUUUUUGUAUGUACCAUACGAAUAAGGAUCGGCUAACUCCGUG